rnacentral:rRNA from 1 species
GACGAACGCUGGCGGCGUGGAUUAGGCAUGCAAGUCGGACGGUAGGGCUUUAUCGUAAGAUAGAGUUUGAGAGUGGCGAACGGGUGAGUAACACGUAGGAAUCUACCCUUAAGACGGGGACAACCCAGGGAAACUUGGGCUAAUACCGGAUGAGAGUGCGAGAGAUUGCAUUUAAAAGGAUGGCGAAAGUUGUCGCUUAGGGAUGAGCCUGCGGUCUAUUAGUUAGUUGGUGAGGUAAGAGCUCACCAAGGCGAUGAUAGAUAGGCGGCCUUAACGGGUGGUCGCCCACACUGGGAUUGAGAUACGGCCCAGACUCCUACGGGAGGCAGCAGUGGGGAAUCUUAGACAAUGGGGGAAACCCUGAUCUAGCCAUGCCGCGUGAUCGAUGAAGGCCUUAGGGUUGUAAAGAUCUUUUCAGAUGGGAAGAUAAUGACGGUACCAUCAGAAGAAGCCCCGGCUAACUCCGUG